rnacentral:rRNA from 1 species
AGCAGCCGCGGUAAUUCCAGCUCCAAUAGCGUAUAUUAAAGUUGUUGCAGUUAAAAAGCUCGUAGUUGAAUUUCGAGACCGGCUUACUGGUCGUGCUAUUGUGCGUACUGGUAUAAUCGGUUUCUCCUUUCUGACGAACUAUAAUGCCAUUAAUUUGGUGUUAUAGGGAAUCAGGACUGUUACUUUGAAAAAAUUAGAGUGUUUAAAGCAGGCUCACGCUUGAAUACAUUAGCAUGGAAUAACGGAAUAGGACGUUUGAUUCUAUUUUGUUGGUUUCUAGGAUCGACGUAAUGAUUAAUAGGGAUAGUUGGGGGCAUUAGUAUUCAAUUGUCAGAGGUGAAAUUCUUGGAUUUAUUGAAGACUAACUACUGCGAAAGCAUUUGCCAAGGAUGUUUUCAUUAAUCAAGAACGAAAGUUAGGGGAUCGAAGACGAUCAGAUACCGUCGUAGU